UACGUAGGGUGCGAGCGUUGUCCGGAAUUAUUGGGCGUAAAGAGCUCGUAGGCGGUGUGUCACGUCGGCCGUGAAAACCUGCAGCUUAACUGUGGGCGUGCGGUCGAUACGGGCAUCACUGGAGUUCGGCAGGGGAGACUGGAAUUCCUGGUGUAGCGGUGAAAUGUGUAGAGAUCGGGAGGAACACCGGUGGCGAAGGCGGGUCUCUGGGACAUUUCCUGACGCUGAGGCGCGAAAGCGUGGGGAGCAAACGGG
rnacentral:rRNA from 1 species